GGUCAUCUUUAAAGCCCUUUCUGUAUCUCAGCCGCUUCACGUUCCUUCCACCUCCAUCCGGUGUACGUCAAUCGUGUUCUUGUUCUUCGGGCCCAGGUAGUUCACCGGAUUUACGGCAGCUACUUUUUGUCUCUCUUCAGUUCCGCGAGGCAGUGAAGGGUGGACCCAGGUGACGCUGCACACACCGUGAGUGUACAUGACAGGCUUUACUUUUCUGAAGGACUUCACUCAUCCAGAAUAGACUUGGAGACUUGAGGCUGAAGAAUAAUUAUUCAUUCUUUUUCAAGUCUUAGGACAGCCGAAACACAAGUCUUAAUUUUACAGCCACUAGGACAUCCAUGAGCCAACAAAUAUUUCUCUGCAUAGCCCACUAGGAUGCCAGAAUGAUGCACACUUCUGUAGAGCUGAGUGCAGGUAAAGUGAAAUGACAGUAAAUUUAAACUCAGUCUCAGCCUCCCCAGUCUGGAUUCACUGCUGGAGCUCGCUGUGUUUCUGCUGGAACCAGACAGAACAUGGAUGAGCAGAGAUAGGGCAGUAUCAUGGAUCACCAGGAAAAUACUCCUUAUCCAUGAGCAACUGCAUCAUGGGGGGAGACUCUAGUCAAUUUAGUGCUUAGCUUAGUAGGGAAGUUGAAGUGUUCUAAAGAAGAGAUGCCAGUUUUUAACAAAGCCUUUCUGGAGAGCAUCUUUGAAAUCAUCACCAGUCUUUGCAGGUCUGGGUUCAGAUAGAAUCGUCUGUGUUGAAAAUAAAUUGAUAUACUGUAAAAGGGACUAGCAGGAUAAUUUAUAUUCAGCAGAGGCUCAAAUACUAAUUCAGAGAGAAGAUUUCAAGAUGAAAUGUAUCCUGGAGUUAAAAAAAAAAUCUAAUUACCUUGACUACUGCAUUUCUUAGCAAACCACAUUUUACUUUUGUAUAUGAGCUAUGAAGGCAGUGUUCUAGUAGGGUCUUAUGGAGUGUGUUUUUUCAUUAAAAUCUAUAGAAUUUGUAUAUUCAUGAGAACAAAAAUGAUAAAAUUUUCAGAAAAUUGAUUCAGAAUGGUCAUUUUUAAUAAGCAUAUCUGUCUCUAAAACCAGAUUCUUCAUUUAUAUUUUAUUAAUUACAUUUAUUUCAAGUCUUAUUAGAAAACAUGUUGAAAUCAUACAAUUUGGAUUUCAAGAAAGAAAAAUACAUAUGAUUUGCAUCUUCUUACUACAUUUUUUUUUCUAUAUGCUAGUGGUAUGUAUUUUUGCUUUUCAUCUUCAUGGGGGUUCACAAUCCUGUUUUUUGUACAUUUUGCUAAUCCUUCAAUUUACAAUGUAUUUUAGAUGCCCUUGCCUGAUUAAAGCACCCGAACAAAUUACAGCCAAGAGAAAAAUAACACAUGUCACCUUUGCAGGUUUAAGCUAUCAUAAUCUUUAACUUUCCUGUCAAAGGAAUUCUUGUCUUCCUUUUGUGCAAAUAUUUAAUUGCUCAGGAUAAUCCAAUUUAUGUUGUCAGGAAGUAGGAAAAUAUAGCGUAUUCUGAAUAUGACCUUCUUUGUUAAAUAUUCUGCUGGCAUCACUCAUGGUUGCUGAAUUGCACAAGCUAUCGAAAUAGAUCUGGAAGCCAACAAGGACCCUGAUUAUGAAUAACAAGCUAUGCUUUAUUAAUCUUCCAAAUAGCUACACAAAUGUUCUUUUUCUCCCAACUUCUUGGAAGAAGAGCAGCAUAAUGGGUAGAUCAAUGGAGUUAACAAAGAAAAGAACAUCACUGUUCGAUUUUUAAAGUUUUAGUCUGUUCUUAUUAUGUUUCUCUUGUUAGCCACAAAGCAAUUUAAUACUCUUUCUGCUUCCUUAUGAUAUUGCAUUUCUUGAAAUUAAAAGGUGAAUACUAUAAGACUUA